rnacentral:rRNA from 1 species
UGGUGGUAUAAGGGUUUCGGCUCGUAAAGCUCUGUUGUUGGAGAAGAACGUGCGUGAGAGUAACUGUUCACGCAGUGACGGUAUCCAACCAGAAAGUCACGGCUAACUACGUGCCAGCAGCCGCGGUAAUACGUAGGUGGCAAGCGUUAUCCGGAUUUAUUGGGCGUAAAGCGAGCGCAGGCGGUUGCUUAGGUCUGAUGUGAAAGCCUUCGGCUUAACCGAAGAAGUGCAUCGGAAACCGGGCGACUUGAGUGCAGAAGAGGACAGUGGAACUCCAUGUGUAGCGGUGGAAUGCGUAGAUAUAUGGAAGAACACCAGUGGCGAAGGCGGCUGUCUGGUCUGCAACUGACGCUGAGGCUCGAAAGCAUGGGUAGCGAACAGGAUUAGAUACCCUGGUAGUCCAUGCCGUAAACGAUGAGUGCUAGGUGUUGGAGGGUUUCCGCCCUUCAGUGCCGGAGCUAACGCAUUAAGCACUCCGCCUGGGGAGUACGACCGCAAGGUUGAAACUCAAAGGAAUUGACGGGGGCCCGCACAAGCGGUGGAGCAUGUGGUUUAAUUCGAAGCUACGCGAAGAACCUUACCAGGUCUUGACAUCUUGCGCUAACCUUAGAGAUAAGGCGUUCCCUUCGGGGACGCAAUGACAGGUGGUGCAUGGUCGUCGUCAGCUCGUGUCGUGAGAUGUUGGGUUAAGUCCCGCAACGAGCGCAACCCUUGUUACUAGUUGCCAGCAUUAAGUUGGGCACUCUAGUGAGACUGCCGGUGACAAACCGGAGGAAGGUGGGGACGACGUCAGAUCAUCAUGCCCCUUAUGACCUGGGCUACACACGUGCUACAAUGGACGGUACAACGAGUCGCAAGCUCGCGAGAGUAAGCUAAUCUCUUAAAGCCGUUCUCAGUUCGGACUGUAGGCUGCAACUCGCCUACACGAAGUCGGAAUCGCUAGUAAUCGCGGAUCAGCAUGCCGCGGUGAAUACGUUCCCGGGCCUUGUACACACCGCCCGUCACACCAUGGGAGUUUGUAACGCCCAAAGUCGGUGGCCUAACCUUUAUGGAGGGAGCCGCCUAAGGCGGGACAGAUGACUGGGGUGAAGUCGUAACAAGGUAGCCGUAGGAGAACCUGCGGCUG